rnacentral:rRNA from 1 species
GAUGGCCUCGCGUCCGAUUAGCUAGUUGGUGAGGUAACGGCCCACCAAGGCGACGAUCGGUAGCCGGACUGAGAGGUUGAAAUCGGCCACAUUGGGACUGAGACACGGCCCAGACUCCUACGGGAGGCAGCAGUGGGGAAUAUUGCACAAUGGGGGAAACCCUGAUGCAGCGACGCCGCGUGGAGGAAGAAGGUCUUCGG